CAUCCUACGGGGGGCAGCAGUGGGGAAUAUUGCACAAUGGGGGAAACCCUGAUGCAGCGACGUCGCGUGAGUGAGGAAGUAUUUCGGUAUGUAAAGCUCUAUCAGCAGGGAAGAAAAAAGACGGUACCUGACUAAGAAGCCCCGGCUAACUACGUGCCAGCAGCCGCGGUAAUACGUAGAGUGCAAGCGUUAUCCGGAUUUACUGGGUGUAAAGGGAGCGUAGACGGCAGGGCAAGUCUGGAGU
rnacentral:rRNA from 1 species